rnacentral:rRNA from 1 species
UAGUCCACGCCGUAAACGAUGAUUACUAGGUGUCCGAAGAGUUAACCCUUUGGGUACCGCAGUUCACGCAUUAAGUAAUCCGCCUGAGGAGUACGGUCGCAAGGCUAAAACUCAAAGGAAUUGACGGGGGCCCGCACAAGCGGUGGAGUAUGUGGUUUAAUUCGAAGCAACGCGCAGAACCUUACCUGGCCUUGACAUUUAGGGACAAUCCCAGAGAUGGGACUUUCACUUCGGUGACUCUAGGACAGAUGCUGCAUGGCUGUCGUCAGCUCGUGUCGUAAGAUGUUGGGUUAAGUCCCGCAACGAGCGCAACCCUUACCCUUAGUUGCCAUCAUUAAGUUGGGCACUCUGGGGGGACUGCCGGUGUUAAACCGGAGGAAGGCGGGGAUGGACGUCAAGUCCUCAUGGCUCUUACGGGCCCAGGGGCCCACACACGUACUACAAUGGCAAAGCAAAGGGUCGCGAUAUCGUGAGAUGGAGCUAAUCCCAAAAACNUUAGUCUCAGUCCGGAUUGAAGUCUGCAAUUCGA